AUACAAAGCUUAAGCUGUGAGCAAAUGCAAAGGUGGAAGAGGAACGGUAACUUUCUGAAGAAAAGGAGGCACAUCUUGUCAACCUUGAUUAUGGAAUUGGCAGCAUGGUAUUCGUUUUGUGAAAGAACUGUAAUACAGGCCCCCUCCACAUACAAGGUAGGACCACAUAAUGAUUUUCAUGAGCCCUAAACAUUUUUUCCUCCAUUGGCUUCUUGCUCAAUAAAAAAAUAUAGACUGCCAUCCCUAACAC